GAAUCUGACUAGUACCCAUGAGGAUGUGGUUUCCAUCCCUGGCCUCGCUCAGUGGGUUAAGGAUUUGGCAUUGCCAUGAGCUGUGGUGUAGGUCACAGAUGUGGCUUGGAUCAUGAGUUGCUGCGGCUGUGGUGUAGGUUGGCAGCUGUAGCUCUGAUUCGACCUCUAGCCUGGGGAACUUCCAUAUGCCAAAGGUACAACCCUAAAAAAAAAGUAUAAGAAGUUCCCCUGGGUGGGGGUCAAACUGGAGCUGCAGCUGCAAGCCUCCACUGGAUCCUUAUUCCACUGAGCAAGGCCAGGGAUUGAACCCGCAUCCUUAUGAAUACUAGUCAGGUUCUUAACCUGAUGAGCCACAAAGGAAAUUCCCAAUAAUAAUAAUAGCCAAUAUGUAUCUUGGAAAGGUUUUCAUAUAAGAAGAGAAAAGGUCUGAAACAGGACUCUAAGAUUAAGUUUAAACAUAAUGGCUGGAAUGCUCUUUAUACUCAGUUGCACAGUCAGAGUUCCAACAAAGCCCUUAUACAAUCACCCAGACUCAGGUGCAAAAGGAUGUUAGGUGAGCAUCUUUCCUCCAGUCCGGCCUAUGGCAACAUCCUAGAGUCACUGCCUGGGCCAGGCAGCCCCUUCCCACAGGCGUAAGGUCCCUGCUGAAGGAGAUCCCCUCAAGACCUGGUGCUGUGUGGGGUUCUUUUAGCCCCUAAGUUGUCAAGGUCCCCUGGCGUGCAGGUGAUAGAGGAAGAGACUGCUUUAGUGUAGAGAAACUGCCUGCUGCACUACACACCCAUGGGAAAUACAUUACGAGUGUUCCUCUGAAACACUCUGGAUUCCUGCCAGGCAGCAUCAAUCAGGCUUAUCAAGGUCGACCAAAGUAGAAAGAAGAAAGUGCCCAGACUUAACUUUCAACAUGGCAGACAGUUGAAAUAAUCUCACAUCAAGAAGGUGCUCCCCAAAAGCAGGCAAGAGCAGCUUAACCAUCUUACUAUUAAUAGGGCAUGAUUCCUUUGUUAGCUCUUCCACCUGCCCCUAAUGUUAAUUUGGGAGUUUCUUGUGUGAGGAGAAAGGAUCAGUUGAAUAUUAUUCUGAACAUUGGCCUUACUUUUUAAAUUUAUUAAUUAUUAUCCUGCCUCUUUAUUAAGCUUGAUCAUGGAUUUUUCUCUCUUACAUUGAAUUUAUGACUCUAAAAACAACUGAGACUUGCUACUGUAUCCUCAUUGGAGGAACCAUAAUCCUGUUCCAAAGGUCCUUGGGGGCUCAAAGUCCACACAAUAGAGCUGGUAUGUUUAAAGAGGUACACACAAGUGACAUGGUACUGACUUUGAGUUUUGCUUUAAGUUUGUACUCCUGAACCUAAGACUAUUAUAUUCUCUUCCAGUUAACCCU
rnacentral:lncRNA from 1 species